rnacentral:rRNA from 1 species
AUACGUAGGGAGCGAGCGUUGUCCGGAAUUACUGGGCGUAAAGGGUGCGUAGGCGGCAAGGCAAGUCAGGUGUGAAAUCCCCGGGCUUAACUCGGGGGGUGCAUUUGAAACUGCUUUGCUUGAGUGCAGGAGAGGAAAGCGGAAUUCCUAGUGUAGCGGUGAAAUGCGUAGAUAUUAGGAGGAACACCAGUGGCGAAGGCGGCUUUCUGGACUGUAACUGACGCUGAAGCACGAAAGCGUGGGGAGCAAACAGGAUUAGAUACCCUGGUAGUCCACGCUGUAAACGAUGGAUACUAGGUGUGGGGGAGGUACAACCUCCGUGCCGGAGCAAACGCAAUAAGUAUCCCGCCUGGGGAGUACGGUCGCAAGGCUGAA